AACGAACGCUGGCGGCGUGCUUAACACAUGCAAGUCGAGCGGUAAGGCCCUUUCGGGGGUACACGAGCGGCGAACGGGUGAGUAACACGUGGGUGACCUGCCCUCAGCUCUGGGAUAAGCCUGGGAAACCGGGUCUAAUACCGGAUAUGACUCCAUGACGCAUGUUGUGGGGUGGAAAGCCUUGUGCGGCUGAGGAUGGGCCCGCGGCCUAUCAGCUUGUUGGUGGGGUGAGGCCUACCAAGGCGACGACGGGUAGCCGGCCUGAGAGGGCGACCGGCCACACUGGGACUGAGACACGGCCCAGACUCCUACGGGAGGCAGCAGUGGGGAAUCUUGCGCAAUGGGCGAAAGCCUGACGCAGCGACGCCGCGUGAGGGAUGACGGCCU
rnacentral:rRNA from 1 species